ACACCCUAUCAUGUGCUGUACCAAUCUCUGAGCCACACUUUGCCGGUGAAGGAAGAAUCGGUGGAUACUUUGUGCUUUUACCAAUUUAAAUAAAGAUAAACCGACAUGCAAUUUUUUAAAGUUGCACAUUGCUUGAAAACCUGAAGUAAAGGAGGAACUAAAGGAACAGACACUCGACAUCCAUGACACACAGCGCAGAAAGUCAGGGGACUGUGACCAAUACAUUUUAGGAUCUGAAGCCGCAUCAGACAUCAGUAUUACCGGAAGAAACACACCGAGACGAGAAGACAGGCCCCAGCUGGAACAAAUGCAUGUGAAUUGGUGAGUUACCCUUCACCACUGGGUGUAUGUCACUACCCCAGACCCCAGAUAGAUGCAUCUUUUAAAUGUUC
rnacentral:lncRNA from 1 species